UUGGAGGGCAAGUCUGGUGCCAGCAGCCGCGGUAAUUCCAGCUCCAAUAGCGUAUAUUAAAGUUGUUGCAGUUAAAAAGCUCGUAGUUGAAUUUCGGGAUCAAAUAAUCGGUCGUGCCUCCGGUACGUACUGGUUUUAUUGGUUCCUCCCUUCUGACGAACCAUGAUGUCAUUAAUUUGAUGUGGUGGAGAAUCAGGACUGUUACCUUGAAAAAAUUAGAGUAUUUAAAACAGGCUAACGCUUGAAUACAUUAGCAUGGAAUAAUGAAAUAGGACGUUCGACCCUACUUUGUUGGUUUCUAGGAUUGACGUAAUGAUUAAUAGGGAUAGUUGGGGGCAUUAGUAUUCAAUUGUCAGAGGUGAAAUUCUUGGAUUUAUUGAAGACUAACUACUGCGAAAGCAUUUGCCAAGGAUGUUUUCAUUAAUCAAGAACGAAAGUUAGGGGAUCGAAGACGAUCAGAUACCGUCGUAGUCUUAACCAUAAACUAUGCCGACUAGGGAUCGGAUGAUGUUAAUUUUUUAAUGACUCAUUCGGCGCCUUACGGGAAAC
rnacentral:rRNA from 1 species